GAUGAACGCUAGCGACAGGCCUAACACAUGCAAGUCGAGGGGCAUCGGGGCGUAGCAAUACGCUGCCGGCGACCGGCGGAUGGGUGAGUAACGCGUAUGCAACCUGCCUUCAGCAGGGGGAUAGCCCGUUGAAAGACGGAUUAAUACCCCGUAACACAGGGGCUCCGCAUGGAGAUUAUUGUUAAAGGGAUACUUCCUUCGGGGGGUAUUCCGGCUGAAGAUGGGCAUGCGUUCCAUUAGGUAGUUGGUUGAGGUAACGGCUCACCAAGCCUACGAUGGAUAGGGGAACUGAGAGGUUGGUCCCCCACACUGGUACUGAGACACGGACCAGACUCCUACGGGAGGCAGCAGUGAGGAAUCUUGGUCAAUGGACGGAAGUCUGAACCAGCCAUGUCGCGUGAAGGAGGACGGCCCUAAGGGUUGUAAACUUCUUUACUACGCGAAUAGAGGUUAGUACGAGAUACUAAUAGGAAGGUAGUAGUAGUAAAAAGCACCGGCUAACUCCGUGCCAGCAGCCGCGGU
rnacentral:rRNA from 1 species